rnacentral:rRNA from 1 species
UACAGAGGUCCCAAGCGUUGUUCGGAUUCAUUGGGCGUAAAGGGUGCGUAGGCGGCGCGGUAAGUCGGGUGUGAAAGCCCUCGGCUCAACCGAGGAAUUGCGCUCUAAACUGUCGUGCUAGAGGAACCUAGAGGUGAGCAGAACUGAUGGUGGAGCGGUGAAAUGCGUUGAUAUCAUCAGGAAUACCGGAGGCGAAGGCGGCUCACUGGGAGUUUUCUGACGCUGAGGAACGAAAGCCAGGGUAGCGAACGGG